GUGGUCUAGAGUUAAAGAUAAUGGCAACUCAAAUGAAAUCAAUUCUUAUUGAAGGCCAUUCUAUAGAUAGACUUUUAUUUUUUAAUGGUUCGAAUUAUAUCUAUUGAAAAGCUAGAAUGAAAAUUUUCAUACAAGCACAUGACUAUAACUUAUGGAGAAUUAUAGUCGAUGACUCACACACACCCAAUGCAUUAAUUCAUGAUAAAGAAAUGAUCCAACUAAAUGCUAAGGCCA
rnacentral:lncRNA from 1 species